GUUUUGGAUGGCUGCUGCUCCCCAUCAGAAUUCACUUCAGAUCUGAAUUUAUGCAAAUUCUCCCAACCUGUGAGAGUGAGUCUGUUGCAAGUGGCUGGCUGGGUCUGGGAACAGACAGAAAUGCAACUUUUGAGGGUUUGUCAUCCAGAUCCACCAGCCAGUGACGCUGGAAACACGGCUGUCCCUCUCAGCAUAGCCUUUUUACAUGUAAAGGGUUUCUUCCAAUCUGUGGCCGGCGGCCGUUGCUGACUUAGUCAAGCCUGCUUAGGACUUUGGAUCAUUAGGGCGCACUUGAGUCCUGGUCUGAAUUGCUUGGGGAAGGAAGAGUUUUACAGUUGGAGCUUUACAUGGAAAUUCCCAUCUCUCAUUUGGAGCCAGGUGUCCAACCUAUUUGUUAACCAUUUCCAAACGAUUCAAAGGACAGACAGGAAGUGCUUGGACACACUCCAGCCCAUUUCUACUAAUUGGCCUUUAUUUGCGUUGGAAACCACAUCCCAGAAUUCAGAAAGGACUCCAGCCUCCUGAGACCCCUGAGCCACCUAUGCCAACUGACAGGGUCUUUAGGGAGUUCCUGGCCUCCACUGUCGGUCUUCACCCCAAAUUCUUGCUAAUUCUGGGAAGCCUCUUGCCACUCUCUGCUCCCCUCGUUGGGAAAUAAGCACUUUUUCUUGGAGUCUCUUUGGACUGACCCAGCUGGACAGCAUUGCCUAAUUGUAUUCUAGGCUGUCUAAAAUCAAAAAGAAAAAAUGUUUUGGGGUAGCGAGCUUUUGUGAAAAGUGAUGGUCCUUUGGCUGGAGCUUGGCACUCCCAGUUGCCUCCCUCCCUCUUCUCACCGUGUGCUCCAUACCACUGUGCAUUACUCCUCGCUCCCAAGCCUGGCUCACUGGCCAUGGCCGAAGGGAAUGGUGUCCUCAGCCCAGCCACCUUCCAAGAAGGCCUCGAAUAAAGCGAGGAAGCCGCUCUCUGCAGCCCCUCCCCCACCCGGCUGGAGAUGGGGUCCUGGGCCUCCCGAGGGUGCUCCUGGGUCACUUGUUGGAAGACUGCUAAGCCCCACAUGGCGCAAAGCCUACACCGUUUGGCCAUGCUCUCAAUGCUCCAAGCACCUCUACUCUGCCCAUUGCACCGUCCCCUUCCCACAGAGACCUCUCUGAUACGCCCUGAACCAGGAAGCACAGUGGGUUUCUGUAACUUUGAUCAGGAUUGCUUGCUUUGUACCAGACACUGUCUUCAGCGUCACGUCAAGCUUAUCGUUUAGUCCUCACUGCAACCUCAGGAGAGCACUGAGACUGGGUGGUUCCGCUGUUUGUGCAUAGCGGGGGCACAAACAAGGAAGUGGACAUCGAGGCCUUGGUGUCUCAGCUCUUACGAACUCUGGUGUGGAAAUCAGUGCAAAAGUUCAAGUUGCAUCUUGUGAUCAACUGAGUUGGUGGGGAACGGAAGAAAGCAGAAAACCAAGCCCCGCCUAAGAAGCCAGGCAGCUUUUCAGCCCUCCUGUGUCACAGGGUUCAAAGAGCUGGUCCGUUCCCCACCCCGAUCCCCAGCUUUCCUGCCUGGCCAGCUUCCCAGGGUGCUCUUGUGAGUAACAACGAUGAUUACUAAACAAUUCAUAUUUGUAUAGGCCUUUUUUUUUCCUUUUCAAUUUUGGGACAAGGUCUCACUUUGUAGCCCCAGCUGGCCUGAGAUUGGCCGAGAUCUCUCUGGGGUAAAAGGCAUGCACCUUCCUUCAUUUUCGGAGUGGUUUGCCAUCUUGAGUUACCUGUUUUAAUCUUCCUGACAACCAAGUGAAAUCAUCAGUGCCUGGAACGGCAUCAGCACACUUUAAAAAAAAAAAAAAAAAAAAAAGGCAGAUUAUGGUGUCAGUCCUCCAUGAUCUCAGCACUUUGAAAGCAGAGGCAGAGCAAUUUCAAAUUUGAGGUCAUUCUGAGCUGUGUAGUGAGACCUUGUC
rnacentral:lncRNA from 1 species